rnacentral:Y_RNA from 1 species
GGCUGGUCCGAUGGCAGUGGGUUAUCAGAACUUAUUAACAUUACUGUCACUGAAGUUGGUAUACAACCCCCCACUGCUAAAUUUGACUGGCUUUAA